UACAUGGGGUGCAAACGUUGCUCGGAAUUAUUGGGCGUAAAGCGCGCGUAGGCGGUUAAUUAAGUCGGAUGUGAAAGCCCUCGGCUUAACUGAGGAAGUGCACCCGAAACUGAGUAGCUGGAGUACGAAAGAGGGUCGCGGAAUUCCCGGUGUAGAGGUGAAAUUCGUAGAUAUCUGGAGGAACACCGGUGGCGAAGGCGGCAUCCUGGACCAAUACUGACGCUGAGGGGCGAAAGCCAGGGGAGCAAACGGG
rnacentral:rRNA from 1 species